AACGAACGCUGGCGGUAUGCCUAACACAUGCAAGUCGAACGAGACCUUCGGGUCUAGUGGCGCACGGGUGCGUAACGCGUGGGAACCUGCCCUUAGGUUCGGAAUAACUCCCCGAAAGGGGUGCUAAUACCGGAUAAUGUCUUCGGACCAAAGAUUUAUCGCCUUUGGAUGGGCCCGCGUUGGAUUAGCUAGUUGGUAGGGUAAAAGCCUACCAAGGCGACGAUCCAUAGCUGGUCUGAGAGGAUGAUCAGCCACACUGGGACUGAGACACGGCCCAGACUCCUACGGGAGGCAGCAGCGGGGAAUAUUGGACAAUGGGCGAAAGCCUGAUCCAGCAAUGCCGCGUGAGUGAUGAAGGCCUUAGGGUUGUAAAGCUCUUUUACCCGGGAUGAUAAUGACAGUACCGGGAGAAUAAGCUCCGGCUAACUCCGUG
rnacentral:rRNA from 1 species